rnacentral:rRNA from 1 species
ACCAGACUCCUACGGGAGGCAGCAGUGGGGGAUAUUGCACAAUGGGGGGAACCCUGAUGCAGCGACGCCGCGUGGGUGAAGAAGCGCCUCGGCGCGUAAAGCCCUGUCAGCAGGGAAGAAAAUGACGGUACCUGAAGAAGAAGCCCCGGCUAACUACGUGUCAGCAGCCGCGGUAAUACGUAGGGGGCAAGCGUUAUCCGGAUUUACUGGGUGUAAAGGGGGCGCAGACGGCGAUGCAAGCCAGGAGUGAAAGCCCGGGGCCCAACCCCGGGACUGCUCUUGGAACUGCGUGGCUGGAGUGCAGGAGGGGCAGGCGGAAUUCCUGGUGUAGCGGUGAAAUGCGUAGAUAUCAGGAGGAACACCGGCGGCGAAGGCGGCCUGCUGGACCGUGACUGACGUUGAGGCUCGAGAGCGUGGGGAGCAAACAGGAUUAGAUACCCCUGUAG